rnacentral:rRNA from 1 species
AGCGAACGCUGGCGGCAGGCCUAACACAUGCAAGUCGAACGAACUCUCCGGAGUUUGUGGCGGCCGGGUGAGUAACACGUGGGGACGUUCCUAUUGGUUCGGAAUAACUCAGGGAAACUUGUGCUAAUACCGAAUGGGCCCUUCGGGGGAAAGAUUUAUCGCCAUUGGAGCGGCCCGCGUCUGAUUCGCUAGUUGGGGAGGUAACGGCUCACCAAGGCGACGAUCAGUAGCUGGGAUGAGAGGAUGACCAGCAACACCGGGACUGGGACACGGCCCAGACUCCUACGGGAGGCAGCAGUGGGGAACGUUGCGCAAUGGGCGGAAGCCUGACGCAGCCCUGCUGGGUGAAUGAUGAAGGUCUUAGGAUUGUAAAAUUCUUUCAACGAUGACCAUAAUGACGGUACCCGGUGAAGAAGCCACGGCUAACUUCGUG